rnacentral:rRNA from 1 species
GAUGAACGCUGGCGGCGUGCCUAAUACAUGCAAGUCGAGCGAACAGACGAGGAGCUUGCUCCUCUGACGUUAGCGGCGGACGGGUGAGUAACACGUGGAUAACCUACCUAUAAGACUGGGAUAACUUCGGGAAACCGGAGCUAAUACCGGAUAAUAUAUUGAACCGCAUGGUUCAAUAGUGAAAGACGGUUUUGCUGUCACUUAUAGAUGGAUCCUCGCCGCAUUAGCUAGUUGGUAAGGUAACGGCUUACCAAGGCAACGAUGCGUAGCCGACCUGAGAGGGUGGUCGACCACGCUGGAAGUGAGGAGCGGUCCAGACUCCGACGGGAGGCAGCAGUAGGGAAUUGUGCGCAAUGGGCGGAAACCUGACAGAGGAAGGCCGGGUGGGUGAUGAAGGUCUUCGAGACGUAAAACGAUGUUAUUAGGGAAGAAAAAAUGUGUAAGUAACUAUGCACGUCUUGACGGUACCUAAUCAGAAAGGCACGGCUAACUUCGUG